rnacentral:tRNA from 1 species
GAUAGCUCAGCGGUAGAGCAUUCGGCUGUUAACCGAAGGGUCGUAGGUUCGAAUCCUACUC